UACGUAGGGUGCAAGCGUUGUCCGGAAUUAUUGGGCGUAAAGAGCUCGUAGGCGGUUUGUCGCGUCUGCUGUGAAAACUCAGGGCUUAACCCUGAGCCUGCAGUGGGGUACGGGCAGGACUGAGAGUGUGGUAGGGGAGAUCGGAAUUCCUGGUGUAAGCGGUGAAAUGCGCAGAUAUCAGGAGGAACACCGGGUGGCGAAG
rnacentral:rRNA from 1 species